rnacentral:rRNA from 1 species
CAGCAGCCACGGUAAUACGAAGGGGGCUAGCGUUGUUCGGAUUUACUGGGCGUAAAGGGUGCGUAGGCGGAUUGUUAAGUCAGGGGUGAAAUCCCGAGGCUCAACCUCGGAACUGCCUUUGAUACUGGCGAUCUUGAGUCCGGGAGAGGUGAGUGAACUGCGAGUGUAGAGGUGAAAUUCGUAGAUAUUCGCAAGAACACCGGUGGCGAAGGCGGCUCACUGGCCCGGAACUGACGCUGAGGCACGAAAGCGUGGGGAGCAAACAGGAUUAGAUACCCCUGUAGUCCCUGUCUCUUAUACA